GGUUUACUGCUGUGCAUUUCGAGGUCUUGUUAAAAGCAUGCUGCGCAAAAAUCCAGAACUUAGACCAAGUCUACUUGGACUUCCUCCACUCUCAGAUGCAACACCAGCACCUCAACACACCCGCUCAUUGUUUUUAGGAAGUUUCUUUUGCACAUGUGGUGAAGGAACUAAUGUCCAUAAAUAGCUUCUAGGAUAUUGUAUUUCCUUUUCGAUUUGCAAUUAAGAAACUAUUUGUAUAUGAUGACUAUGAAUAUAAGUUCGCAUAUUCUUUUCUUAA